rfam:Schistosoma rodhaini strain Burundi genome assembly, scaffold: SROB_scaffold0008233
AUCCAACUGACGAGUCCCAAAUAGGACUAAACGCGCGUCAAACUGGAU